UCCUCUCCACUUUGUGACGGCCGUGAAGUGAGCAGCUUUCUUCUGCCCAGACUCUUCCACCAUGCCUUCCUGUCACGGAGCCAGCCAAACAUGGACUUAAAUCUCCAAAAACCAUCAGCUGAAUAAACCUCUCCUUCUUUAAGCUGCUGGUGUUGGGUACUGGGUCUCACAAGAGUGACUGAGACGUCAGUUUAUCGCAGAGGUUCUUCAGAAGAGCACAUGGAAGGCUUAAGGACAAGAACCAGCUGCUUGCAGUACACACCAGCUUAGCUCCUCCAUCUGGGGUCGCUGCGUACGGUCGUCACAUACCAGUUGAGUGACCAGCCAAAAGGGAAACCUAGUCAGAAGCCACAUUGUUUAUUCUCAUUCCUAAAGGAAGCCACGCUUGGGAGAUGAACAAACACCAGCUGCUGCCCAAGUCCACAGGCUGACCCUGGUGCUUUCAUUCAUUUCUGGCCACAGUACUGAGUUUGCACAUUCUUUGUCUCUCCCUCUCACAAGAUCCCUUAGGACAGUGCUGGACACCAAGGAGGUGCUAUGUAAACGUCAGCAGUCACCAUCACCAUCACCAUCGGCAUCUCACCCCUCUUACAGAUGAAGAAUUGCUGCCCCGGAAGUAACGUGCCCAAGAUCACACAGCAGGUAUCGAAACUAAGCUCACCAUCUAG
rnacentral:lncRNA from 1 species